UCCCUGAUGGCUCAGUGGUUAAGAAUCUGCCUGCAAUGCAGGAGACCCAGGUUCAAUCCCUGGGUGGGGAA
rnacentral:tRNA from 1 species